GAGCUCCAUGAGUAACAAAAUCUCAAGCUUCAAGCAAGGAGCUACGGAGUCAUUCUUUGAGGCAUUGGAACGUUUCAAGGAGUACACUAGGGAUUUCCCUAAUCAUGGUUU
rnacentral:snoRNA from 1 species